GCGUCGCUUGUUUGCAGGGAGCCUCAGUGUCGCCGUCAAGCCGCAUCAGAGGGGGAGCGCCGCCGCUGUGCCUCCAUCGUCACUGAAGACGCCGGUUGUUGCUGCUACUUGUGAGAGAGAAGCGCAUGAAGUGGUACUAUGAAGAGGGUUGUUUCUACCACCAUUGGAGUCCUGCUACCAUUGAUGCCAUAGCCGUUGCACCUCUGGCCACUGGGAACAGUUCUGUGACUGCUGAAACCACCGCCGAAGCUUCUGGUCGCCUCUGCCGCCCGGAACCCCGCCGCCGUCACCGGAAAACUCUGCCGUCACCAUCGCCGGAGUCCAGUCGUCGCUGCC